rnacentral:rRNA from 1 species
UACGUAGGGCGCAAGCGUUGUCCGGAAUUAUUGGGCGUAAAGAGCUCGUAGGCGGCUUGUCACGUCGGAUGUGAAAGCCCGGGGCUUAACUCCGGGUCUGCAUUCGAUACGGGCUGGCUAGAGUGUGGUAGGGGAGAUCGGAAUUCCUGGUGUAGCGGUGAAAUGCGCAGAUAUCAGGAGGAACACCGGUGGCGAAGGCGGAUCUCUGGGCCAUUACUGACGCUGAGGAGCGAAAGCGUGGGGAACGAACAGG